rnacentral:rRNA from 1 species
UCUCCAGUACGAAAGGACCGAGAAGACACGGUCUAUGUAUAAACAAACCGUAUUUAUAAACUUAUGUACAAAACUUAAUAAUCUAGUAAACUUUUAAGUAGCUUAAAACGAGAGCA